rnacentral:lncRNA from 1 species
AAGCCGCGCCUCGCCGGACGGCUGAGGGCGGGCGACGGGCGGCGCCGGCUGACGGGCCGCAACGCGAGGGGAGGUCCGGCGGCCCGGGGCGCCCUGCGACUGCCCGAGGCCGGAGGCCCGGAGGACCCGCCGCCGCCUUUGUGUCGCCGGCCCCCGCCCCGCUGGACUGGCCCGGGCCGGGGCGGUUGGGCCGGCGCUGAAGGGGCUUGGCCGCCCGGGUCCACCCGUUCCCGGAUCCGCCUCGCCGGCCCCCGCGCCCGCCCAACCCCUGCCCAGCCCCUCGGCUCCGCGAGUUUGGGUGAGAAGUGCGGCGGCUUUUCCCAGGGAUGGAGUUUAGAGGACGCUAAUCCUAUGUGUGAGCGGCGGACCCCGCCCGGACUUCCCGGAGGCGCCCGGUUAGUGAGGCGACGGCGCCCACCCGCGUUCGCGGGCUCCCGGCCGCCACUCCCCGGAGCCGCCGGCCCGCCCCAGCCCCGCGCGUCGCCCGGGAGGGCGGGCUGCACUCCCUCCACGUACCUGGCUGGCAGAGCGUCUCCAGGGACAAAAGGUGCCCUGGGAUCAAAGCCGAGCCCCCGCCCCCGCGGGGAUGCUGCCCUCCGGAAGGAGGGGCGCUGCCCCCAAGGGCCCCUAACAGUGUCAUAGGCCUGAUGGAGCAGCGGAACCUGCCUGAGGGUAAAGCUGAAGUUCCUCAGAAACCAGACGGCCUUACAGCCUCUUCACUGCUCUUUGAGAUGGAAGAGAAGAAAUGCAGAUGAGUGCUUUCUGCUACAAAUCUCAUCUCUCCAAGCUGAAGUUGCCAAGGAACAUGCCAUCACUGUAACUGCUAAAAACACAACGUAUAAUGAAAUGCAUCUUCUACAAAUGAAUCUGUGAAUACAGAAUAGCCUACAGAGGUUGACAGUUUGAUUCUGUUCUCUGCAAGGCAUUAGAAUUUCACUAUGGGGGCCACUAGGACUGCUCUAUUAAUUAAUUAUGUGUAUUCUAUUGUUUUUUGUUGGUUUUUUUUUUCAGAUGGAGUCUCACUUUGUCGCCCAGGCUGGAGUGCAGUGGCUCUAUCUCAGCUCACUGCAACCUCCCAGGUUCAGGCAAUUCUCCAGCUUCAGCAUCCCGAAUAGCUGAGACUGUAGGCGC